AUAUCUUUUUUUUCUUUCUGGUGUCCUGUGUAUCUUUGUUUACAAAUAAUUUUUGUAAAACUUCACUGCCUCUUUGAAUACAUUAAUGAUUUCUUAUGUGAUUCAUCCAACUUCAAUUUGACGAAGUCAACACUUGUCUAGAAUUUCAGAUCGGGUAGUUUGAUCAACUUAAAUAGUGUUAAUAUGUUCUCAAUGUUUGAUCCAAUUGGUCUAACUAACCGAUCCGAUCUAGGUUUGAUAACAAUAGAUGAAUGUGAAGAUGACGAUGAAGAUGCUCUUGUAAAAAUAAUCAUCACUCUCAAAAAUCAAAUCGACGAAAUACCAAAGUCUUCUCUUCAAUUAUCACAAGAAUCAGAAAGCAAUCAAGGAAGAGCAAUUUCUGAUAGAGUCUUGUGUCAAUGGAAGCACUUCACGUCGCAGAAGACGAAGUUCUCCUUAUGAAUUACGAAAAGCUCGUGAGAGAGGGAGUUCAUCAAAAUCAACACCCGAUUCUUGAACCUGGUAUUGGGUGACUUUAAUUCGAUGAUAAACUUUCUCUGUUGCUUUGUGUUUUAAUUAAGCUAGCAUUUGGUUGUAGCUCAUGUUUAUAUUGUUGUAAAUUCUUCUUCCACUUCUUGUACUUGUUAAGUUUUAAUAGUAUUUUUGCUCAAACAAAGUUUUAAUAAUAUUAAUCUCCUCUGAAAAAACUUAAUAUUAAUCUCUUUU